rnacentral:rRNA from 1 species
ACGCUGGCGGCGCGCCUAACACAUGCAAGUCGAACGAGCGAGAGAGAGCUUGCUUUCUCGAGCGAGUGGCGAACGGGUGAGUAACGCGUGAGGAACCUGCCUCAAAGAGGGGGACAACAGUUGGAAACGGCGACUAAUACCCCAUACGAUGUGAUGCUGCAUGGCAUUGCAUUGAAAGAUUCAUCGGUGGCGGAUAGGCUCGCGGGACAUUAGCUAGACGGCGGGGCAACGGCCCACCGUGGCGACGAUGUCUAGGGGUUCUGAGAGGAAGGCCCCCCACACUGGGACUGAGACACGGCCCAGACUCCUACGGGAGGCAGCAGUGAGGAAUAUUGGUCAAUGGGCGGAAGCCUGAACCAGCCAUGCCGCGUGAAGGACUAAGGCCCUACGGGUCGUAAACUUCUUUAGACGCAGAGCAAUAAGGUCCACGCGUGGACCGAUGAGAGUAUGCGUAGAAUAAGCAUCGGCUAACUCCGUG